UUGGAGGGCAAGUCUGGUGCCAGCAGCCGCGGUAAUUCCAGCUCCAAUAGCGUAUAUUAAAGUUGUUGCAGUUAAAAAGCUCGUAGUUGAAUUUCGGGAUUAGUACGUCGGUCGUGCCUUAGGUACGUACUGGUGUUACUGGUUCCUACCUUCUGACGAACCAUCAUGUCAUUAAUUUGGUGUGGUGAGGAAUCAGGACUGUUACUUUGAAAAAUUAGAGUGUUUAAAGCAGGCUCGCGCUUGAAUACAUUAGCAUGGAAUAAUGAAAUAGGACGUUGAUCCUAUUUUGUUGGUUUCUAGGAUUGACGUAAUGAUUAAUAGGGAUAGUUGGGGGCAUUAGUAUUCAAUUGUCAGAGGUGAAAUUCUUGGAUUUAUUGAAGACUAACUACUGCGAAAGCAUUUGCCAAGGAUGUUUUCAUUAAUCAAGAACGAAAGUUAGGGGAUCGAAGACGAUCAGAUACCGUCGUAGUCUUAACCAUAAACUAUGCCGACUAGGGAUCGGAUGAUGUUAAUUUUUUAAUGACUCAUUCGGCGCCUUACGGGAAAC
rnacentral:rRNA from 1 species